rnacentral:rRNA from 1 species
GGAAUAUUGCACAAUGGGGGAAACCCUGAUGCAGCGACGUCGCGUGAGUGAAGAAGCGUUUCGGCGCGUAAAGCUCUGUCAGCGGGGAAGAAACACGGUUCGCGAGAGCCGCGGACGGUACCCGACCAAGAAGCCCCGGCUAACUACGUGCCAGCAGCCGCGGUAAUACGGAGGGGGAAAGCGUGAUCCGGAUUCACUGGGUGUAAAGGGAGCGUGCACGGCGAGACAAGUCUGGAGUGAAAGGCCGGGGCCCAACCCCGGGACUGCUCUGGAAACUGCCUGGCUGGAGUACAGGAGAGGUAAGUGGAAUUCCUAGUGUAGCGGUGAAAUGCGUAGAUAUUAGGAGGAACACCAGUGGCGAAGGCGGCUUACUGGACUGUAACUGACGUUGAGGCUCGAAAGCGUGGGGAGCAAA